AAAAAAAAAAGGGGGCCUGUUCAGCUGUCAACUCUGAUAAUCACAAAGGUCAACAGUGUCCCACCAGCAAAUGAUGGUCUUGCUAAUCAAACAAAGCUGUUCAGUAAUUUGUCUGCCGGCAUGG